AGCGAACGCUGGCGGCGUGGCUUAGGCAUGCAAGUCGAGCGAGAAACCGGGGGCAACUCCGGAAGUAAAGCGGCGAAAGGGUGAGGAUUAUAUCGACAACCUACCCCGAUGACCGGGACAACGACUGGAAACGGUCGCUAAUACCGGAUGGCCCCGCAGGGAGGCAUCUUCCCGCGGGUAAAUGGAGGGGACCUUCAGGCCUUCCGCAUCGUGAGGGGUCGAUAUCCUAUCAGCUAGUUGGCGGGGUAAUGGCCCACCAAGGCGACGACGGGUAGCCGGACUGAGAGGUUGGCCGGCCACACUGGAACUGAGACACGGUCCAGACUCCUACGGGAGGCAGCAGUGGGGAAUAUUGCACAAUGGGCGAAAGCCUGAUGCAGCAACGCCGCGUGAGGGAUGAAGGCCUUC
rnacentral:rRNA from 1 species